rnacentral:rRNA from 1 species
CCUACGGGUGGCUGCAGUGGGGAAUAUUGGACAAUGGGCGAAAGCCUGAUCCAGCCAUGCCGCGUGUGUGAAGAAGGCCUUCGGGUUGUAAAGCACUUUCAGUGGGGAAGAAAGCCUUGGGGCUAAUACCCUCGAGGAAGGACAUCACCCACAGAAGAAGCACCGGCUAACUCCGUGCCAGCAGCCGCGGUAAUACGGAGGGUGCGAGCGUUAAUCGGAAUUACUGGGCGUAAAGCGCGCGUAGGCGGUCUGAUAAGCCGGUUGUGAAAGCCCCGGGCUCAACCUGGGAACGGCAUCCGGAACUGUCAGGCUAGAGUGCAGGAGAGGAAGGUAGAAUUCCCGGUGUAGCGGUGAAAUGCGUAGAGAUCGGGAGGAAUACCAGUGGCGAAGGCGGCCUUCUGGACUGACACUGACGCUGAGGUGCGAAAGCGUGGGUAGCAAACAGGAUUAGAUACCCCCGUAGUC